AGGAAUGAGAAGUCGUAACAAGGUUUCCGUAGGUGAACCUGCGGAAUAAUCAUUA
rnacentral:rRNA from 1 species